UACGUAGGCAGCGAGCGUUUGUUCGGAAUUACUGGGCGUAAAGAGUGUGUAGGCGGUGCUCCCAGUCUGUUGUGAAAUCUCCCGGCUUAACUGGGAGGGUGCAGCGGAAACUAGAGUGCUAGAGGGUGGGAGAGGUAAGCGGAAUUCCUGGUGUAGCGGUGAAAUGCGUAGAUAUCAGGAGGAACACCUGUGGUGUAGACAGCU
rnacentral:rRNA from 1 species